rnacentral:rRNA from 1 species
CAGCCGCCGCGGUAAAACGUAGGUGGCAAGCGUUGUCCGGAAUUAUUGGGCGUAAAGGGCUCGCAGGCGGUUUCUUAAGUCUGAUGUGAAAGCCCCCGGCUCAACCGGGGAGGGUCAUUGGAAACUGGGAAACUUGAGUGCAGAAGAGGAGAGUGGAAUUCCACGUGUAGCGGUGAAAUGCGUAGAGAUGUGGAGGAACACCAGUGGCGAAGGCGACUCUCUGGUCUGUAACUGACGCUGAGGAGCGAAAGCGUGGGGAGCGAACAGGAUUAGAUACCCCCGUAGUCCCUGUCUCUUAUAA